CUUCACCGAACCCAGCCACAACGGCACCUCACGACCCUGCCCAUACGUCGCCAACAGCGCCUGCGCCUC
rfam:Streptomyces incarnatus strain NRRL 8089 sequence.